GUCGUACGAGAGUUUUUACUCAAGUGGCGGACGGGUGAGUAACACGUAAGAAUUUGCCUUUAGGAGGGGGACAACAACUGGAAACGGUUGCUAAUACCCCAUAUGCUUUCGAGUGAAAUGGAUUUUUCCGCCUAGAGAGAAGCUUGCGGCUGAUUAGCUUGUUGGUGAGGUAAGGGCUCACCAAGGCGACGAUCAGUAUCUGGUUUGAGAGGACGAUCAGACACACUGGAACUGAGACACGGUCCAGACUCCUACGGGAGGCAGCAGUGGGGAAUUUUCCGCAAUGGGCGAAAGCCUGACGGAGCAAUACCGCGUGAGGGAUGACGGCCUAUGGGUUGUAAACCUCUUUUUUCAGGGAGGAAUAACUGACGUGUACCUGAAGAAUAAGCAUCGGCUAACUCCGUGCCAGCAGCCGCGGUAAUACG
rnacentral:rRNA from 1 species